rnacentral:rRNA from 1 species
GAAUUCACUAGUGAUUCAGGCCUAACACAUGCAAGUCGAGCGGUAGAGAGAAGCUUGCUUCUCUUGAGAACGGCGGACGGGUGAGUAAUGCCUAGGAAUCUGCCUGGUAGUGGGGGAUAACGUUCGGAAACGGACGCUAAUACCGCAUACGUCCUACGGGAGAAAGCAGGGGACCUUCGGGCCUUGCGCUAUCAGAUGAGCCUAGGUCGGAUUAGCUAGUUGGUGAGGUAAUGGCUCACCAAGGCUACGAUCCGUAACUGGUCUGAGAGGAUGAUCAGUCACACUGGAACUGAGACACGGUCCAGACUCCUACGGGAGGCAGCAGUGGGGAAUAUUGGACAAUGGGCGAAAGCCUGA